CAUCGUCCUCCCUCAAAGAUGAUGAGCAGGGCACACUGAUCUUCCUCAUGUUGAUAUGCCCAUGGCAUCGUCUUCCCUCAAAGAUGAUGAGCAGGGCACACUGAUCUUCCUCAUGUUGAUACGGCCAUGGCAUCGUCCUCC